UGAAACAAAGAGAAAAACCAAGUUUCUACCUACUUACUGCCAUUUUGCUUCAUUGUUAUUUUUUAUUUUACUAAAUUAAUUAAAAAAGUCCCUUUGUAAAAUUCUUUCAAAUUCAGUUGAAGAAAUUUCCCAACUUUAUUGCAGGUGUGACAACUAUAGCCCCUUUGAUAGUUACAGUCACUUUGACAAGUUACUUCUCACUUGUCAAAGUACACCAUUUGAGUUGUCAAUUUCUUUUUAUUAAGGAAUUUAUUUUUUAAUUGUGUUAGGGUUUUAGUGAAUACUAAGUACACAGAAAUGUUACAACAAAGCUUCACAAAUCUAUUAUCAUUCACAGGACAUCUGGAGAGGACUGGUCUGAAGAAAUCUGUCUUUCAUAUAAAGUGGAGUGUCAAUGCCCUCCAAAAAUAAAAAAAAUAUUGAAGCCUUCUUGAUAGUCCUUAGCUUAACUUGAAGCAUACUUAAAAUCAUAUUUUUUGUGAUAAGCUAUUUUUCAUCUACUAGCACUCUUAAUCUAAUUCCCAGACAAAAUUUAUAAUGUUGUAUAAAUCACACAAUCUUUGAUUUCAUUCUAAUUCCAAUUCUGAAAAGAAUAAUAUCUCUGCUUGUGAAUAUGGUGCACUUCCUGAGACAACAUCUCCGAUCAUAUGUCAUUAGUUUGAGAGAGUUCCUGUAGAGACCCAAACUCAAAUAAGCAUGUAACCAUUGUCAAAUGUUAACAUGGUGUUCAACUGGAGGACUCACUGUUUAUCUGUCCAUUCUCUUAUCUCUUAAUUUCACAACACAUCUCACACAGUGCCUGUUUUUGUAAUAAGAAUACUUAGUGAAACAAGUAUUCUGAACUAGACCCCUAGAAUGCAAUACUAUAAUUGGAGGAUCCCUGUCAUGCCAAAGUAUUGUUGUAUCAUCUGCAAAAACUCUGAAGUUUCCCCUAACAUUCAAUUGAGGAAAAUCAUUCAUGUUCAGUAAGAAUAGCAGGGGAUCCAAGACUGAUCCCUGUGGGACACGAAAAGAAAUAGGCAAUACAGAGGAACAUACAUCAUUAAACAAAAGUCUCUGCUUAAGAUCUGAUAGUUUACAUAACAUGGUUGAAUGGUGCAUGCAAUCAAAAGCUUUCGACAUAUCACAGAAUGGCGAAGCUGCAAUGUCACCUAUAUUGAGCCUGAGAUACAGCUCCCGAAGAAAUCCAAACAUAGCAUCAUUUGUGUUUCUAGAUGUUAAAAAUCCAAACUGAUGCGGAUCAUGCAUUUUAUGUCUGUUGAGAAAUGAAACAACCCUCACUUUAACCAGCUUCCCCACAAUCUUUCCUAGCACAGGAAGCAAUGCUAUAGGAUGGAAUUGGAACAAUGUUAGCCCUCUUAAGACAAGGAAAAAAUAGGCCAUUUGUAAAAGACUUAUUAACUGCAAGAGCCAAACAAACUAGGGCCGGUUAGUGUUAUCUCUUAUCACUUAAUAGUAACAUGCGUUCAGCAACAAACAAUCGGGUUCCAUGUUCAGCUUAAACUGACUUUUAUCAAAAUCACCCCAAAAAUGUCAAAACUGUUGCUGAGUUGACUGCUUGUGAGCCAGUGAUGAAUAUUUCUAUAUUCUCAGUUAUUUAGUAAUUAGUCAUAAGUAUUUUAUUUAAAGGAUCAACAGCAGCUAUUCUGAACCUGAUGAUAUUGAUUAUAUGCUUCUUACUGAUCAAAAAUCAAAGCUAUUUUUUUUUUUUUUUCUAUUAUAGACAACCCAUAGACUGAAUUAAAUUGCUUAUAAUUUUAUCUGGCAUAUUUCUCCAAGUUUUAUCAUUUUCAUCACAAAUUUUUCUAUCAACAAUUUCCUAAAGAUUUUCAAUUGGGUAACUGUGAGAGC
rnacentral:lncRNA from 1 species